AGCUCCAAUAGCGUAUAUUAAAAUUGUUGCAGUUAAAAAGCUCGUAGUUGGAUUUCUGGUUUGGUGCGCGCGGUCCGCUGCGGUUUCGUAGCGUGUGCUGUUGUGCGCCUGCCAUCGUUUGAGGCGGCGUGCCCUUCACUGGGUGCGUCUUUAUCUCAAUCUUUUACUUUGAAAAAAUUAGAGUGUUCAAAGCAGGCUUGCGCUAUGAAUACAUUAGCAUGGAAUAAUAAUAUAGGACUUCUGUUCUAUUUUGUUGGUUUCUAGGAUGGAAGUAAUGAUUGAUAGGGACAGUUGGGGGUGCUAGUAUUCAGAGGCCAGAGGUGAAAUUCUUGGAUUCUCUGAAGACUAACUUAUGCGAAAGCAUUCACCAAGGAUGUCUUCU
rnacentral:rRNA from 1 species